rnacentral:rRNA from 1 species
GACGAACGCUGGCGGCGUGGAUUAGGCAUGCAAGUCGAACGGUAUCAUCCUUUCGGGGGUGAGAGAGUGGCGAACUGGUGAGUAACACGUAGGUUAUCUACCCUCAAGACGGGGACAACCCAGGGAAACUUGGGCUAAUACCGGAUGUGAGCAACUUUUAGUUGUUUGAAAGGUGGCGUAAGCUGUCGCUUGGGGAUGAGCCUGCGUCCUAUUAGUUAGUUGGUGAGGUAACGGCUCACCUAGGCAAUGAUAGGUAGGCGGCCUUAACGGGUGGUCGCCCACACUGGGAUUGAGAUACGGCCCAGACUCCUACGGGAGGCAGCAGUCGAGAAUAGUCUACAAUGGUCGGAAGACUGAUAGUGCGACGCCGCGUGAACGAUGAAUCCCUUCGGGGUGUAAAGUUCUUUUAUAUGUGAGCAGUGCUUCUUAAUAUUAACAGUAUGGGGAAGAGAUAUUAGCAUAUGAAUAAGCAACGGCUAACUCCGUGCCAGCAGCCGCGGUAAAACGU